GGAGGACGAAGAAGGCAGUUUUAACUCCAGGCUAUUUUGAGACUUGUACCGGAUGCCGGCAUCACCUGCUUGAUAUGUCUACCGCGGCUCAGUUAAAGGGACUGCAUCAUCAGCCACCGGAUUAAUCCUGUCUUGGUUAUGGAACUGAUCAGCUCCAUAACCCGGGGGGAAAGGUGAGCUUGUCAGGCUUCCACACUCUGAAGAGCUGGCUGUAAAGAACAAUAAGGAACCUCAACCUCCUGGGUUUGGGCACCAAAAAAUGUAGGGUAAGGGAGUUAGAGAAGGCAAGGUUCUGAAAAAGAAUGAGACCGGCACUUUACAGGAACAGAUCACCUUUAAUGAAGCGAGAAGGGGCAGCAGUCAGAUUAGUGAGCUGCUGCACUAACCCAAGAAAAGAGUGGAUUCUUUACCAGCUGAACCACAAGGGAAGCCCAAGAAUAUUGGAGUGGGUAGCCUAUCUCUUCUCCAGCGGAUCUUCCUGACCCAGGAACUGAAUGGGAUCUCCUGCAUUGCAAGCAGAUACUUCACCAACUGAACUACCAGGGAAGCCCAAGAGUUCAACAAUCUGUUACCUCAGUAACAGCUCAGGACGACAGUGAGAGGAGUGUCCCAAGGAUAUCUUGAGUGAUUAUUGCAGUAAGUUCAGUUGAAGGUCUGAGGAGGUGGGUAUUGAAGAGGUCAGAGGUGGCAAGCGAAGAUGAAUGCUGUCCAGUGAAACUUUCUGGAUGAUGUUAAUGUUCCUCUUGUGUUGUCCAAGAAGAUAGUUGCUAGUUAUAUGUAGCUAUUAAACACUUGAAAUGUGGUAGGUGUUACUAAAGAACUGAAUUUUUAAUUGAAUUGAUUUAUUUAGAGUAAAAAUUUAAAAAACAGGCCAUGUGUGGUUAGUGGCUUCUAAAUUGGACAGCACAGUUCCUGCAUAAUAAUUGAUGGUCAGCAUGUUUUUAUUGAAUGGAUAAGUGGAUGAACAGAAAUAAUAUUACUAUUUUACAUUUCAAGGCCAUCUAGUUAUUAUAUGCCCUCUAGCCUGGUAUCUAAGAGAUACCUGAAAGUCAUAG
ensembl:lncRNA